UACGUAGGGUGCGAGCGUUGUCCGGAAUUAUUGGGCGUAAAGAGCUCGUAGGCGGUCUGUCGCGUCGAUCGUGAAAACUUGGGGCUUAACCCUGAGCUUGCGGUCGAUACGGGCAUGACUGGAGUUCGGCAGGGGAGACUGGAAUUCCUGGUGUAGCGGUGAAAUGCGCAGAUAUCAGGAGGAACACCGGUGGCGAAGGCGGUUCUCUGGGCAUGUCCUGACGUGAGGAGCGAAAGUGUGGGGAGCGAACAGG
rnacentral:rRNA from 1 species